rnacentral:lncRNA from 1 species
GGAUCUGCUUGUGGGAUCGCAGCAGGACUCUAGAUGUGGUUUCUGUGUUUAAAAUGAUUGUUUUGCCUUUGUCAUAGUCUGCGCUUGGUGGGAGCAGCCUUUAGUGGACUUACUUAGUAGCGUUUAUUGUAAUUCUGUGCUGUACUCUAUACUCAUUGGAUAGAAAUGUAGAGUAUUCCUUCUGCUAAAUGUUUUUAGCCUUUGACACCUUUUUUUCCAGCUGUUUGUAUUUGAAAAAAUUUAACCAUUUUUAUCGAUCAUUCAUGUAGAUAGAAAUGUUGAGUGAAGAGAUUUUGUUGAAGAAGUGGUAAGAAGAGUAAAAAAGAUGCAUCUUAACAUAUACCAUUAUUAGUUACAGGCUGUUUUAUCAGAAAUUUUAGCCAUACAGAAGCAGAGCACCUAGUCUUUCCUAACAGUGAAAAGCUUUAUGCUUUAUUCCUUUAAGAGUCAUUAAGGACUUGUAACAGUUUUUUGGCCAAAUUUGUACACACACACACACACACACACACACACACUGACAGGGUCUCAUUUUGGCCUGGAUAUAGCCCAGGUCAGCAUUGAACUCAGCAAUCGUCCUUCCUCAGAAAAGGUUCUAUGAAUUUCCCUCCUUAUUCUGGGGCUCAAACUCAAGACCAUGCGUAUGCUGGACAAGCACCCAGUGUCUGGAUAACAUUCCCAGACCCUUGGAUUUUUAGUAAGUCAAAUGAACUAACCAAUGGGAAGUGCUACUCUGGGAUAUGCUCUAGAGCAGGUCAAGCUGAUGUGAACUGAGUGUGCCAGGGAUUACUUUGAAUACAAAGGAAAUAACAUCCUAGGAGGAGUGAAAGAAAAAAAAAGAGAGAAACAGCUGGCUGGCCUGGAGUAAUGGGGGGACUUGAAUGUGAUUGCAUAUGAAUUAUUGUAGGCUGCUGUUACAUAGGCUGUAGUCUAUACAACCAUACAGAGCAGUCUGCAGUUUCCAAUUCAUUGUUUUCUUAGCCACUAAUGGUAGGACACCCCAGAGGUCUGGUUCAUUAUUCCCAUAGACAGCUCUGGUUUUAGUACUUGUUUAUAAUAAAAGUAACUUUUCCCCGACUUUUUUAUGCAGUAAAGGAAAAAUUGGAAUCUAAACCAAGACAACCCACUAUUGACUUGAGUCAAAUGGCAGUACCUAUUCAGAUGACCCAGGAAAAGAGACAUUCUCCUGAGAGUCCAUCCAUUGCUGUGGUAGAGUCAGAACUAGUUGCUGAAUACAUCACCACGGGUAGGUGUCCUCUUAAAACAUAGUAAUAAGGUAGUGCUACCUUUGCGGACUUCAUGGGGUGCUCAUUUGGGGAAGACAUAUCUAUAUAUUUCUAGCUCUUUUCCUGUUUUACUCAGAGCAGAUUGAAUUAUCUUCGGAGUUUCCCUAACUUUAAUACCCCCCCCCCCCUAUUUCCCUGACUUUAAUCAAUCAAUCUCUCUCUCUCUCUCUCUCUCUCCCUUAUUUCUCUGACUUUAAUCAAUCAAUCUUUCUCUCUCUCUCUCUCUCUCUCUCUCUCUUUCUCUCUUUCUCACUCACACACACACACACACACACACACACACACACAGACACAUACC